rnacentral:misc_RNA from 1 species
UAUCAAUGGAGAAAGUAUGGCCAGAAGGUCACUAAAGAUAAUCCAUCGCCUAGAGCUUACUUCAGGUGUUCCAUGGCUCCAGGUUGCCCCGUCAAAAAGAAGGUUCAAAGAUGUGCCGAGGAUAAGUCAUUUCUGGUUGCUACUUAUGAAGGGAAGCACAACCAUGAUCCUUUUGGAUCUCCUGGUCACUCUAUAUACUCUCCGGAUAGCUCAUCAAGAAGCUCCAGAAGUAGCAUUAUUUCUUUCCCAGUCAACAGUAAUCCUUCUCAACCAGGUGUAGCUCUUGAUCUUACCCUCUCAAGUCCCACACAUGACAAGGAAAAACCUUGUCAAAGUUUAAUGGAAGAUCACACCAGCAACAAAAACUGUAACACUAAGGCUGAAGAGUACUUGGCAUCCCUGACUAAAGAUCCAAGCUUCACAGUUGCUUUGGCUGCAGCUGUAGCUCGCUCUUUAUCUACACCAAGAGUACUGUGAAGGGUCUCCACUUUAAGUGUAAAGGGAAUUGAUAAUUAGUUAGCUUCUAUUAGUCCUUCUUCUUCUUCUUCUUCUUCUUGUUAUUCUCUAGUUUUGAUUCUUAUGCUUCAGUUGUAUGUGAAUCAUGAAUCCAUUCCUCCACUACGUUUUUUAGGAUUACAAGAUCUCAAGUUUGAGCACUAGCAAAAGCCGAGUGAAAAAAAAAAAAAAAAGAUAUGCACCUUGA